UGGGGAAUAUUGGGCAAUGGGCGAAAGCCUGACCCAGCAACGCCGCGUGAGGGAAGAAGGUUUUCGGAUUGUAAACCUCUGUCCUUGGGGACGAAGAAAGUGACGGUACCCAAGGAGGAAGCCCCGGCUAACUACGUGCCAGCAGCCGCGGUAAUACGUAGGGGGCAAGCGUUGUCCGGAAUUACUGGGCGUAAAGGGUGCGUAGGCGGUAUCUCAAGUCAGAUGUGAAAUCCCCGGGCUUAACUCGGGUGGUGCAUUUGAAACUGGGAGGCUAGAGUGCAGGAGAGGGAAGCGGAAUUCCUAGUGUAGCGGUGAAAUGCGUAGAUAUUAGGAGGAACACCAGUGGCGAAGGCGGCUUUCUGGACUGUAACUGACGCUGAGGCACGAAAGCGUGGGGAGCAAACAGG
rnacentral:rRNA from 1 species